AACGAACGCUGGCGGCAGGCCUAACACAUGCAAGUCGAGCGCCCGGAUUUAUCCAGGAGCGGCGCACGGGUGAGUAACGCGUGGGAACAUGCCCUGAAGUACGGAACAACCUGGGGAAACCUUGGCUAAUACCGUAUACGCCCUGAGGGGGCAAGAUUUAUCGCUUUGGGAUUGGCCCGCGUUGGAUUAGCUGGUUGGUGUGGUAACGGCGCACCAAGGCGACGAUCCAUAACUGGUCUGAGAGGAUGACCAGUCACACUGGGACUGAGACACGGCCCAGACUCCUACGGGAGGCAGCAGUGGGGAAUAUUGGACAAUGGGCGAAAGCCUGAUCCAGCCAUGCCGCGUGAGUGAAGAAGGCCUUCGGGUUGUAAAGCUCUUUCAGCGGGGACGAUGAUGACGGUACCCGCAGAAGAAGCCCCGGCUAACUUCGUGCCAGCCGCCGCCGUAA
rnacentral:rRNA from 1 species